rnacentral:rRNA from 1 species
UACGUAGGGGGCUAGCGUUGUCCGGAAUCAUUGGGCGUAAAGCGCGUGUAGGCGGUCCGGUAAGUCCGCUGUGAAAGUCGGGGGCUCAACCCUCGAAAGCCGGUGGAAACUGUCGGGCUAGAGUACGGAAGAGGCGAGUGGAAUUCCCGGUGUAGCGGUGAAAUGCGCAGAUAUCGGGAGGAACACCUAUGGCGAAGGCAGCUCGCUGGGACGUUACUGACGCUGAGGAGCGAAAGCGUGGGGAGCGAACAGG